rnacentral:rRNA from 1 species
UUCCAGACUCCUACGGGAGGCAGCAGUGGGGAAUAUUGCACAAUGGGGGAAACCCUGAUGCAGCGACGCCGCGUGAGUGAAGAAGUAUUUCGGUAUGUAAAGCUCUAUCAGCAGGGAAGAUAAUGACGGUACCUGACUAAGAAGCCCCGGCUAACUACGUGCCAGCAGCCGCGGUAAUACGUAGGGGGCAAGCGUUAUCCGGAUUUACUGGGUGUAGAGGGUGCGUAGGUGGCAUGGCAAGUCAGAAGUGAAAGCCCGGGGCUCAACCCCGCGGACUGCUUUUGAAACUGUCAGGCUGGAGUACAGGAGAGGUAAGCGGAAUUCCUAGUGUAGCGGUGAAAUGCGUAGAUAUUAGGAGGAACACCAGUGGCGAAGGCGGCUUACUGGACUGUAACUGACACUGAGGCACGAAAGCGUGGGGAGCAAACAGGAUUAGAUACCCCAGUAC